rnacentral:rRNA from 1 species
AUUGAACGCUGGCGGCAUGCCUUACACAUGCAAGUCGAACGGUAACAGGUCUUCGGAUGCUGACGAGUGGCGAACGGGUGAGUAAUACAUCGGAACGUGCCUAGUAGUGGGGGAUAACUACUCGAAAGAGUGGCUAAUACCGCAUGAGAUCUACGGAUGAAAGCAGGGGAUCGCAAGACCUUGUGCUACUAGAGCGGCCGAUGGCAGAUUAGGUAGUUGGUGGGAUAAAAGCUUACCAAGCCGACGAUCUGUAGCUGGUCUGAGAGGACGACCAGCCACACUGGGGCGGAGACACGGCCCAGACUCCUACGGGAGGCAGCAGUGGGGAAUUUUGGACAAUGGGCGCAAGCCUGAUCCAGCAAUGCCGCGUGCAGGAUGAAGGCCUUCGGGUUGUAAACUGCUUUUGUACGGAACGAAAAGCCCUGGGUUAAUACCCUGGGGUCAUGACGGUACCGUAAGAAUAAGCACCGGCUAACUACAUGCCAGCAGCCGCGGUAA